AGUCACUGACAUUAGAUACCCGUGUAGUCCAGGGUGUAAACGCUGCGGGCUUGGUGUUGGGGUCCUUAGUGGGCGCCCAGUGCCGGAGAGAAGUUGUUAAGCCUGCUGCUUGGGGAGUAUGUCCGCAAGGAUGAAACUUAAAGGAAUUGGCGGGGGAGCACCACAACGGGUGGAGCUUGCGGUUUAAUUGGAUUCAACGCCGGAAAUCUUACCGGGACCGACAGCAACAUGAAGGCCAGGCUGAAGACUUUGCCGGAUUAGCUG
rnacentral:rRNA from 1 species